CUGUCUCCCAGGCAAAGGCUGGCUGGAGCCGCUGUAGCUUACCCUCCGCUGCUCAGCCCACCGGCUUGCGGAGAGAUGCCAGCACCAGCAGCAGACAAAUG